AGGGGUGUGUCUUUCUUCAUUAACAGUAAUGCAUAUUUCCCAGUGACAUGUGUGGCCGAAGGGUCCAGAUUACUUGAGAAACUUGUUUGUGUUUGGUUGCCUGCCUGCUUGAAACAAACAAGAACACAAGUCAGAAUAUUCCAACACAGUGUGUGUCUUUUUGUCACUCACUCUUCAGCAUCUUGUUACAAGCACAGGAAGAACUGCUGCUCUCUUUUUUGGUGCAUGGUUUGAUUUUUUUUUAUUAUUAUUUUUUUCUGUUGAGCGUUGAUGAAAAAUUUGAUCCCAAAUGUCAUAGAAUUACUUUUUGGGCAAUUAUAUCCUCAAGAAAUGCCAUGAGAUGAAAAUAUGUCAGUCUUAUGAAGACAUGUGAAUUUUGGCAGUGUGAACUGAAGGUUUGAAUUUACGGUUUGCCGCGGUAGGGCUACUUUCUGUCACCAUCUGAUCCUGUCCAGCCUUUUCUAAUGGAAUCCCUUUCUGGUUCAGCCUUUAACUGGAACAUAAUUUUUUUCUUACCCUCUAAAGUGUUUGGUCUCUUUAUUGUAAAACCUCUCCUGGAAAUGUGUACAGAAUU
rnacentral:lncRNA from 1 species